rnacentral:rRNA from 1 species
UACAGAGGGUGCAAGCGUUGCUCGGAAUGAUUGGGCGUAAAGGGUAGGUAGGUGGUCUCAUUUGUCUGAGGUGAAAGCCUUGAGCUUAACUCAAGAAGGGCCUCAGAAACGAUGAGACUGGAGUCUUCCAGAGGGUCGUGGAAUUCCCGGUGUAGCGGUGAAAUGCGUAGAGAUCGGGAGGAACACCAGAGGCGAAAGCGGCGACCUGGAGAAGUACUGACACUCAACUACGAAAGCGUGGGGAGCAAACAGG